UAAAGUCUUAAUUUUUAGUUAUCACGAUUUAGCACAUAUCAAUCUAUAGAUUUGAUUUUUCUUUUAUUAGUUCUUAAAUUUUGAUUUGAGACAGUAACUAUUCAAAUAGAAUGCUAUUGUAAUCCAGAAUCCGAAAGAAACGAAUCAAAAAAAAAAAAAACGAGUCUUCAUAGUAAAAAUCGAUUAACUAAAAAGGAUGG